rnacentral:rRNA from 1 species
AGGAUAAACGCUGGCGGCGUGCCUAACACAUGCAAGUCGAACGCCCUUUUGCUCGCAAGAGCCAGAGGGAGUGGCGGACGGGUGAGUAACACAUGGGUAACCUACCCCCCAGUGAGGAAUACCGGCGAGAAAAUCGCCGACAAGACCGCAUAGGCUCGGUCCGGUGAAGCGGAGCGAGCAAAGUCUCUUUUUUGAGAAAGAGGGAGACGCUGAGGGAUGGGCCUGUGGCCGAUUAGCUGGUUGGUAAGGUAAAGGCUUACCAAGGCGACGAUCGGUAGCUGGUCUGAGAGGACGAACAGCCACACUGGGAUUGAGAACGGCCAGACUCCUACGGGGGGCAGCAGUGAGGAAUUUUCCGCAAUGGACGCAAGUCUGACGGAGCAACGCCGCGUGCAGGAGGACGCGUUUUCGGAGUGUAAACUGCUUUUCUGUGGGACGAGCGAGGACGGUACCACGAGGAAGAACGCCCCGGCUAACUACGUGCCAGCAGCCGCGGU